GCUGUAGCUCAGUGGUAGAAUACCUGCUUUGCAUGCAGAAGGUGCCAGGUUCAAUCCCCAAUUGGCAUCUCCA